rnacentral:rRNA from 1 species
GACGAACGCUGGCGGCGUGCUUAACACAUGCAAGUCGAACGGAAAGGCCCUGCUUUUGUGGGGUGCUCGAGUGGCGAACGGGUGGGUAACACGUGAGUAACCUGCCCUUGACUUUGGGAUAACUUCAGGAAACUGGGGCUAAUACCGGAUAGGAGCUCCUGCUGCAUGAUGGGGGUUGGAAAGUUUCGGCGGUUGGGGAUGGACUCGCGGCUUAUCAGCUUGUUGGUGGGGUAGUGGCUUACCAAGGCUUUGACGGGUAGCCGGCCUGAGAGGGUGACCGGCCACAUUGGGACUGAGAUACGGCCCAGACUCCUACGGGAGGCAGCAGUGGGGAAUAUUGCACAAUGGGCGGAAGCCUGAUGCAGCAACGCCGCGUGCGGGAUGACGGCCUUCGGGUUGUAAACCGCUUUCGCCUGUGACGAAGCGUGAGUGACGGUAAUGGGUAAAGAAGCACCGGCUAACUACGUG